rnacentral:lncRNA from 12 species
GCGAUGUUUCCCAUAAUACUCCGGGAGUGGGUGUUUUCAUUCUUCCUUUGAACUUUCUAUUUCCAGUGCUGCUGCCCUUUGUGGUUAGAAACGGGAAAACAAUAGCAUUCCAUGUUCUCUCACUCAUACGGGAUGGGAAACUAUAGUCCUAAAGUGAGAAUUAAAAUAUUGUCCAAUCACAGCUCAGCCAGUCCUGAGACAUCGCUAAAUAUUAUGAAAUGAGAUACAUUUUCAAUCUGAAUUGCAACACUAGAGUGCUUCAAGUGAGUCUAUAAAUUAAAACAAACAGCAUGCAUGCAAUAUGAGAGAACCUGAAGAUGACUCUGGGUAACUCAAGAGUCAGGUGUUUGGAGACAAAGGAGGAGGGAAAGAACUCUGGUCAGCUAAACCCAUAUUCUUCAGUUUUUCAGGCUCUGAAUUCCACCCCUGAUAUCAAGAGGUCUAAUCUGGAAACUCAGUGAACUGGUCACUGCAGAGGCACCCCCAUUGAUUCUAUGCUCUUGUCCGCUGUUGCCUUUCCGCCCCCAGCUCGGCUCGAAUCCUUUUUCAACAAAACAGUAAGAGAGGUUUGAUUGCCUUCGGAAGGAGCGGGCUCAGGUAUGUAAUCAGGCCUUAAUUGGAAGCGCUGAGUGCUGAGUCUGGCCUGUCAGAUGAGCAGAUGCCCUCCAGGGAGAAGGAUGAGUGCAGACCUCUUGAAGCCCCUCUGUGCUAAAUAAUAGAAACGGAAGGCUCCCUGAAUGGGCCCAUCUAGGCAAUCAACACAGCUGUUUUCCGCUGCAUAAAACAAUUUCAACCAACUCAGUAAACUCAAUUAAUCCUCUUUAGAAGAUACUGAGUGGGAGAAAAGAGAUUUAUUUUGAAUAUCCUCCCUAGAGCUGUCAGCACUGGGGCUCGGCAGGGCAAAUAUGAGCUGGAGAUAGAAGGACCCACGCAGGCGUGGACUCAACCACAAAUCGUAGUCUACAGAUGUGGAGAGGCCACCCAGUGAGACUCUCCAAGUUUGGGUCGGGGCCAGAGGGAAGCUCUCUGGUUUCUGUCAAGGGACCUCUUUUUCCUUCCCUGUGAUGUGACCCCUCAGGUAUGGUCUCUGCCUAACUUUGAGUGGGGCGCCCCGCUUGUCCCCAGGGCAGCCUUGAGAGGGGCCCACCAGUGCUCCUCUCUGACAUUCCCUCUUCUGGACACAGCUGUGGGUUUUUUGAGUGUCCACACUCUUCCUAGAUCUGCCCCAAGCCAUGGCUUCCAACCUUGAGACAGAGACGAAGUUCCCACUCUCUCCUGGUUGCCCUGUGUGAACUCUUGGAGGAACUCAGAUUCUCUCACUUAAGACAGAACAAGUUGUGACUUUCAGUAGCUUCUGUCUUCUGACUGAGACAAGGAAAUACUAAGACCAGUCAUCUUCCUGAAAUAGAGGAGGGGAAAGGGGGGGUGGAAUCCAUGUUUACAUUUCAGGUGAUUCUGCUACAAGAUGGACAUUGUGGAUGCUGAGGAUGUGAGAGGUCCUCUGUGAUGUGAGAGGUCCAGGUGGGCAGUUUCAGCCCUGAUGGAUGGGAGGAUGGUGUGGUGUGGAGUGAGGAGAAUGAGUGGGGCAGGGCCAGCCACUAGGGCCAGGCACUUGGUCCUGCAGGACUUGAGAUCCUGAAAGGGUUGGUUGGGAGAAGGCUGGGCUCAGGUGCCCAGAAGUAGGACCCAGCAGGAACUGGGCUCACUGAGACCCAGACCCUGGCCCUGAGGCAUAUGAGGGAAAUUUGGUCAGAAGCUCUAGCCAAUAAAACGGAGAUACAGGGUCCA